rnacentral:misc_RNA from 1 species
UUGAAAUAAACCUGAUGGGUUGCUGCUGGUUCUCUAGGGAGCAUGUGCACACCUUGUCAUCUUUAUAUCUCCACCUGUGCACUUUUUGUAGACCUGAAAAGGUCUAUGUUGCUUCAUUUUACCCCAAUUGUAUGUCAAUAGAAUGUUGUGCCUAUAUAAUAUAUA